rnacentral:rRNA from 1 species
UACGUAGGGUGCGAGCGUUGUCCGGAAUUAUUGGGCGUAAAGGGCUCGUAGGCGGUUUGUCGCGUCGGGAGUGAAAACCCAGGGCUUAAUCCUGGGCUGGCUUCCGAUACGGGCAGACUAGAGGUAUGCAGGGGAGAACGGAAUUCCUGGUGUAGCGGUGAAAUGCGCAGAUAUCAGGAGGAACACCGGUGGCGAAGGCGGUUCUCUGGGCAUUACCUGACGCUGAGGAGCGAAAGUGUGGGGAGCGAACAGG